ensembl:lncRNA
AGGGGUGUGAUAUUUGAUCUUCCAGUUAAAUCACUGAGAAUGGCUCAGGACUAUCAAUUUAUGUUAAGAGAAUAAACUAGCCAUGAAAUUUAUGAAGCAGAGGACAGAAAAUUAAAAAGCUGUUCUGCAGCUGUUUGUUGUAGGAUUUCUUGUGACUUCCUGAUAAGCAUCUAACCCUUGCCAUGCUUAGGAUGUAGGUGAUGAAUUACUUAGGUGAGAAAUGCUAAUGUCCAAUAAUUAUUCUGGAGUUUCAAUGAAGCACUCUUUGUUCAGACAUUUUUGCAAAAGUUGGUGUUCUAAUGGGUAGGAAUGCCAUAACAAACAAACAGCAAAUAUUUAUAUCCAUAUCACUGACAACACUUCCCUCUCCCAAACUGGGUUAUAGCCUAUCUGGGGUUGAGUUUUCAAUUUAUUUCCUUUUAAGGCAUCCCCUUGAGAAGGUUCUGGUUUAAGACUCCCUGGCCUUAAUCUCCAGGGUUACAGAGUGUCAACAUUACAAAGACUGUGACCCACAACUCUCCCAAAGUUACUGGUUUCCCAAUUGUAGCUCAAGCCUCCUCCUCCUAGUUACAUUCAGUUACCCAGUCCCUCAUAGCAACAGGCUGCCUAGCACUUCCUGGAAGGACAACAUAACAUUCCAUAUAUCACACUUGCAUGCUUUUUCCGUAAGCAUAAUGCUUUUCUACAGUUCUGUGUUGCAUCUGGCUGUUCAAGAAGCUCCUGAGUCUGCUAGAGAAAAAAUUGUAUCCAGCAGGAAUGAAUGUAUUCUGUCUUUCACAAAAGCUCUGCUGCUUCCACUCUUAGGUGCUUAUAGUAUUACUACUGAUGACCUUCCAGAUUUAUUUUUAGAUCCUGAGAUUGGGGUAUACACUGGAGGAUGUCUAGACAAAACCAUGCUUGCGGAAUCCUGCAGUAAGUGGCUUAAAGCGAGUCAUUGCUGCAACUGCUGCAGAAGAUGCAGAUUUAAAAGUCUUGAGUAUACACUUGUGCUCUGUGUUAAAGAAAGAUCUCCUGGCGUAAAAGCAUGGCUUUGGAACAUAUUCAAUUGA